AAUCGUCCAAAUAUCACUGAUUUGAGUCUGCUGCCAGAACAUAGAACAAACAUCGAUUCAGUAGUUUGCCAAUUUUUUCUAUGGCCGGGUCAGUCAAAUUGUUUCAGAAUCAUAAUUUGGUCUGCUGAUAUCCUUAUCGCGAUGAACAUGGAGCAUGGCAAGACCGCACAAUCUCUCGCUACUCAUGCAUGCUCUUUUCCAAAUUUUCAGUCGUUUCAGGGCAGUCUGUGUUUCUAAAGGUAGCACAUUAUCAUCAACACAAUGAUCAUUCAAUGUCUUCUUCCAAUUCCUUCUCCAUCAGCAAUUUAGUAGUAGCAUCGAUAGUAACAGUUUUGUUUGUAAGAGGGAAUUAAGCUUUCCUGUAACUACCAUCAUACAGUCGCAG
rnacentral:lncRNA from 1 species